CAGUCAAUUUAAGGGAAAAAAUUGUUGUUGCUUUACAAAUUUGAAUAUUCCUUUAUUCCUACGUAAGUUCUAACUUUUGCAGAGUCAAGUGAAAUAAUAUAACAACAAAUAAAAAGACCAUGACAAUUUAUCAUUAAACGCUAGUAUUAAAUAUUAAUCUUAUCUCAUUUUUGUGUUAAUUGUUAUGUGUAUGUGGAUUAAUUAGUGUGUGACUAAUAAAAAAAUAUAUAUUGAUUAAUAAAUAAAAUUUUCUUGAUAAAUAAUUUGGUAGCUAUGAUUGUUGAUGGAGAGUUGAAAAAGAAAGAGAGAGGGGUAUAAUUAUAAUGUGUGCAUAAAAAGAAAACGAAAUAAAUCGAAAACAGAAAAAGAAAGAGGUGAAAAUGGUGAGUUUCAAUAAAGCUAAGUUGAAGCUGAUGAUGGAAUAUAUAACAAGUAGUCUUCGAGAUAACUUUAGCUUUCUCUCUCUCUGGCCUCCAUUCUCUUGGGGAAGGGUAAAGGAAAGAAGAGGCAAACUGUAAAGAAGAGCUAAAGGGGAAGUGGGCUGAUUCGAUUCUCCUUGGGAAUCGCUUCCAUGCACGACUAGACUACUUCUACGACCAACUUAUUCAUAUUCUCCCUUUUUUGUUCCUCUAAUCUAAUCUGCUUUCUCUUCUUUCUUCUGUUGUUGUUGUUUUUUUUUAUAAUAUACUUUCUCUUUCUUCUAUUACAAUGCAUGUAUUCAAUGAAUGAAAUACUUUAAACAAGGUAGAUAGCUAUAAGUACUAGCACCAAAAAGUGUCCAUGCAACUACUCAAUGGGAUAUCUCUCUCAAGUCUCAAGGAUCGAGUUGAUACAGUACUACUCAGUAGAAGAAAAAACAGAGAGAGAGAGAGAUACUGUUAUCAUAUGUAGAUGAACAUGACAUGAAAUGAAUUUUCUUUUAUUAAUUGAAGAAAAACAGAGAGAUACUGAUAUCAUAUUUUAUAUACGUACAAUUGUUUCAGUGCAUAACCAAACUGCUACUAUACCUAGUAUUACUGUCCUCCAAUCAACAUCACCUAACAUAUUCGCCACCCACUAUGCACAAUACACCACACUAGGAAAUCUCACUCUGACACAAAUCUAACAUAAUGAAACUCAUUUCCUUCAACUCCAAAAUGGCCCUUUUCAUCAUAAUACUUAAAUCUAUUCUAUAAUUGUUGAUUUCAGUUGUAUAGAAUAUAGAUACUUCAUGCUUUAUUUUAUGUACUUAAGUUCAAAAUAAAUGUAUUUGAAUAGGUUUCCAAUCAAAGGAUAGUUACAUAAAACUAAACACAAAGUAUACCUAAACACAUAAAAUCAAGCUGAAAAGCACAUAACCAAAUUUGCCCCGAAGAGUUGAAAAUCCAAAAGCAUUAAUACUUUUAGACCGUGAAAAAAAAAUAGUAGUUAAAAAGCCAAGCUUAAGUAUUUAGUUUAGUAUUUUAUACACAAAAUUAAACAAUUCAAUUUCAUUCUUGGCCGAUAAUAUAUUUGCUCGAUCCGAUACAAGAAUGAUUGACAUGAAUACUAUAGACAAAUUAUAACGCUUUUUCUUUUUCAUCUAGGCUUGCACUUGCCCAAAAUGCCCACAAAGGCUAUACUUACUGUGUGAUUUAGGUAUCUAUCACCAGUCACCUGUGCCAAAAUGAUAUCAAGAAAUAAAACCUGAGAGACUAGACCCCAUCUUCACAACAUACUCCAUCCAAAAGGCAUGACUAAUUUUGGUCAAAAACCAAAAACAUGUAUGCAAGUAACUAAAUAUUCUAGCCUAAUCAUUACAACAGGAAAAAGAAAACACCAUUACUAUGAAGUUUCAUUGUGACCCUCUUUUGCUCCGGCUACCAGCACCAGACAUACUAGAACUUGGUGAAACAC